GCACUUGAGCAGCACAUUCCUAAAACUGGAACAACACAGAGAAGAUUCGCAUGACCACUACACAAGAAUGACAGGCAAAUUCAUGAGGUGUUCCCAAUUUUA